rnacentral:rRNA from 1 species
AUUGAACGCUGGCGGCAUGCCUUACACAUGCAAGUCGGACGGUAACGGGCCUUCGGGUGCCGACGAGUGGCGAACGGGUGAGUAAUGCAUCGGAACGUACCUUUCAGUGGGGGAUAACGUAGCGAAAGUUACGCUAAUACCGCAUAUUCUGUGAGCAGGAAAGCAGGGGAUCGCAAGACCUUGCGCUGAUUGAGCGGCCGAUGUCAGAUUAGCUAGUUGGUGAGGUAAAGGCUCACCAAGGCGACGAUCUGUAGCGGGUCUGAGAGGAUGAUCCGCCACACUGGAACUGAGACACGGUCCAGACUCCUACGGGAGGCAGCAGUGGGGAAUUUUGGACAAUGGGGGCAACCCAGAUCCAGCCAUGCCGCGUGAGUGAAGAAGGCCUUCGGGUUGUAAAGCUCUUUCGGUCGGGAAGAAAUCGCAUGGGUUAAUACCCUGUGCGGAUGACGGUACCGGCAUAAGAAGCACCGGCUAACUACGUGCCAGCCGCCGCCGUAAUAC